AACGGGGUUCAACAUCUGGCUUGCCGGAAACUGUUACCUAGUGGCGAACGGGUGAGUAACACGUGGGUAACCUGCCCAAGAGACCGGGAUAACAGUUCGAAAGGGCUGCUAAUACCGGAUGUCCUGUAUGGGAGGCAUCUUUGAUACAGGAAAGGAUUUAUUCGCUCUUGGAUGGGCCCGCGUCCCAUUAGCUGGUUGGUGAGGUAACGGCUCACCAAGGCAUCGAUGGGUAGCCGGCCUGAGAGGGUGGACGGCCACACUGGGACUGAGACACGGCCCAGACUCCUACGGGAGGCAGCAGUGGGGAAUAUUGCGCAAUGGGGGCAACCCUGACGCAGCGACGCCGCGUGAGCGAAGAAGGCCUUCGGGUUGUAAAGCUCUGUCAAGGGGGAAGAUAGUGACGGUACCCCUGGAGGAAGCCCCGGCUAACUACGUGCCAGCAGCCGCGGUAAAACGUAGGGGGCGAGCGUUGUCCGGAAUUACUGGGCGUAAAGGGCGUGUAGGCGGUGAGGGAAGUCAGCUGUGAAAACCCAGGGCUCAACCCUGGACCUGCAGUUGAAACUUUUUCACUUGAGUGCAGGAGAGGAGAGUGGAAUUCCCCGGUGUAGCGGUGACA
rnacentral:rRNA from 1 species